CGCCACUUCACAAGUGUCCCAAGCAUCUUUGUACUGGUCAAAUCGUGGAGAGAUUGUCAUAACCCGGUGGCCUCUUGCCUGCACAACAAUACCACAGUAAAAUUGAUCAAACACAAGCCGUGCCUGACAUUUUUCAAAGAUGAAACUAAGUAUCAGAAACCCUCUACUCACAGCCAUUGCUGGGGGAAGUCCACCAAGAACAUCACCAAGACCACCAGUUUUGCUCCAAGGAGCUACCUCAGUGGCAACAAAGACCACAGUCAUUCCUCCUUGUAGACAAACAAUUUUUCCAGAAGUGUCAUUCCCAGUAGCAUAGGCCUUUUUGACAGACUUCCUUGCAAAUGCUUGAGUCUUAAAUUGCAGCUUGUCCACCAUGUUCAGUGACCUUAAACCACUGUGAGUCAUGCUUUGGCUCCUUAACCCAAUUUGACCAAAAUUUUCCGUUGUUUCUGAUCCAU
rnacentral:lncRNA from 1 species